AGGGAUUACCUCAGUAACGGCGAGUGAAGCGGUAACAGCUCAAAUUUGAAAGCUAGCUCUUUGAGGGUUCGCAUUGUAAUUUGUAGAAGAUGCUUCGGGUGUGGCCCCGGUCUAAGUUCCUUGGAACAGGACGUCAUAGAGGGUGAGAAUCCCGUAUGUGACUGGGUGCUUUCGCUCAUGUGAAGCUCUUUCGACGAGUCGAGUUGUUUGGGAAUGCAGCUCUAAAUGGGUGGUACAUUUCAUCUAAAGCUAAAUAUUGGCCAGAGACCGAUAGCGCACAAGUAGAGUGAUCGAAAGAUGAAAAGCACUUUGGAAAGAGAGUUAAACAGUACGUGAAAUUGUUGAAAGGGAAGCGCUUGCAACCAGACUUGCGCGCUGAUGAUCAUCCGGGCUUCUGCCCGGUGCACUCGUCUGCGCUCAGGCCAGCAUCGGUUUCGGUGGUGGGAUAAAGGCCUUGGGAAUGUAGCUCCUCUCGGGGAGUGUUAUAGCCCUCGGUGCAAUGCCGCCUACCGGGACCGAGGACCGCGCUUCGGCUAGGAUGCUGGCGUAAUGGUUGUAAGCGACCCGUCUUGAAACACGGACCAAGGAGUCUAACAUCUAUGCGAGUGUUUGGGUGUCAAACCCAUACGCGUAAUGAAAGUGAACGGAGGUGAGAACCCUUAAGGGUGCAUCAUCGACCGGUCCUGAUGUCUUCGGAUGGAUCUGAGUAAGAGCAUAGCUGUUGGGACCCGAAAGAUGGUGAACUAUGCGUGAAUAGGGUGAAGCCAGAGGAAACUCUGGUGGAGGCUCGCAGCGGUUCUGACGUGCAAAUCGAUCGUC
rnacentral:rRNA from 1 species